GCCGUUCUGAUUGGAUUGCCCAUCCUGUAGCCGGAGAUAAUGAUGAGGCAGUACGUAAAGAGUAUGACUCUGAAACCAUAUUCAUAUGGAACCAGCGAUGGAUACAGCUUCAUGAACGACGUUAUAGCCCCUGCUUGAGCAAGGCUCUGCAAUUUGGCCGCAGGCCAUGGCUACUUGCAUCAUGGUGAUGGCGAAGAUUCCGGCGAGGAGGCUCCCGAGAGCUCGGUUGAACCCUCUGUUGAAUGUAGCACCUACAAUGAACAGAAAUUACAUGAUAAAUUUAUUACAAUUUCAUGAAAGUGAGCAUAUAUAUUUGUAAUGUUAUAAAUGAACAUACCUACGGUGUAUUCGAACAUGAUAGCUACUGUAAGUAUGGACCAAAUGAUGCUGGUUCCAAAUACCUCAUAUGGUGCUCUGAUAAGUAUCAACAGGGAGACAAGCAGCACAGCCA